rnacentral:rRNA from 1 species
CCUACGGGACGCAGCAGUGAGGAAUAUUGGUCAAUGGACGAGAGUCUGAACCAGCCAAGUAGCGUGAAGGAUGACUGCCCUAUGGGUUGUAAACUUCUUUUAUAAAGGAAUAAAACGAGGCACGUGUGCCUUUUUGCAUGUACUUUAUGAAUAAGGAUCGGCUAACUCCGUGCCAGCAGCCGCGGUAAUAAGGAGGAUCCGAGCGUUAUCCGGAUUUAUUGGGUUUAAAGGGAGCGUAGAUGGGUUGUUAAGUCAGUUGUGAAAGUUUGCGGCUCAACCGUAAAAGUGCAAUUGAUACUGGCAUUCUUGAGUACAGUUGAGGUAGGCGGAAUUCGUGGUGUAGCGGUGAAAUGCUUAGAUAUCACGAAGAACCCCGAUUGCGAAGGCAGCUUACUAAACUGUGACUGACAUUGAUGCUCGAAAGUGUGGGUAUCAAACAGGAUUAGAUACCCGGGUAGUC